rnacentral:rRNA from 1 species
CCUACGGGAGGCAGCAGUGGGGGAUAUUGCACAAUGGGCGAAAGCCUGAUGCAGCGACGCCGCGUGAGGGAAGACGGUCUUCGGAUUGUAAACCUCUGUCUUUGGGGAAGAAGAGGACGGUACCCAAAGAGGAAGCUCCGGCCAACUACGUGCCAGCAGCCGCGGUAAUACGUAGGGAGCGAGCGUUGUCCGGAAUUACUGGGUGUCCCGGGAGCGUAGGCGGGGAUGCAAGUGGGAUGUUUAACCUAUCGGCUCAACCGGUAAUGGCAACCAAAACGGCAACUCUUGUGUGAAGGAGCGGCGGGCGGACUUCCGCGUGUAGCGGUGCAAUGCGUCGAUCUUAGGAGGAACACCAGUGGCGACGGCGGCCUGCUGGGCUUUAACUGACGCUGAGGCUCGAAAGCGUGGGGAGCAAACAGGAUUAGAUACCCGAGUAGUC